AUUGAACGCUGGCGGAAUGCUUUACACAUGCAAGUCGAACGGUAGAGGGGGCAACCCCUCGAGAGUGGCGAACGGGUGAGUAAUAUAUCGGAACGUGCCCAGUCGUGGGGGAUAACGUAGCGAAAGUUACGCUAAUACCGCAUACGAUCUAAGGAUGAAAGCGGGGGAUCGCAAGACCUCGCGCGAUUGGAGCGGCCGAUAUCAGAUUAGGUAGUUGGUGGGGUAAAGGCUCACCAAGCCAACGAUCUGUAGCUGGUCUGAGAGGACGACCAGCCACACUGGAACUGAGACACGGUCCAGACUCAUACGGGAGGCAGCAGUGGGGAAUUUUGGACAAUGGACGCAAGUCGGAGCCAGCCAUUCCGCGUGCAGGAUGAAGGCCCUCGGGUUGUAAACUGCUUUUGUACGGAACGAAAAGGUCUCUCUUAAUACGGGGGACUCAUGACGGUACCGUAAGAAUAAGCACCGGCUAACUACGUGCCAGCCGCCGCAGUAACAC
rnacentral:rRNA from 1 species